rnacentral:rRNA from 1 species
GAUGAACGCUGGCGGCGUGCCUAAUACAUGCAAAUCGAGCGAACAGACGAGGAGCUUGCUCCUCUGACGUUAGCGGCGGACGGGUGAGUAACACGUGGAUAACCUACCUAUAAGACUGGGAUAACUUCGGGAAACCGGAGCUAAUACCGGAUAAUAUAUUGAACCGCAUGGUUCAAUAGUGAAAGACGGUUUUGCUGUCACUUAUAGAUGGAUCCGCGCCGCAUUAGUUAGUUGGUAAGGUAACGGCUUACCAAGGCAACGAUGCGUAGCCGACCUGAGAGGGUGAUCGGCCACACUGGAACUGAGACACGGUCCAGACUCCUACGGGAGGCAGCAGUAGGGAAUCUUCCGCAAUGGGCGAAAGCCUGACGGAGCAACGCCGCGUGAGUGAUGAAGGUCUUCGGAUCGUAAAACUCUGUUAUUAGGGAAGAACAAAUGUGUAAGUAACUAUGCACGUCUUGACGGUACCUAAUCAGAAAGCCACGGCUAACUACGUG